CUCUGGGCAGCCCAUUCCAGUGCCUGACCACUCUUUCAGGAAAGUGGUAUUUAAAAAAAAAAAAAAAUUAAGUCUUCAAAGAUGUUUACCUCGCAAACUUUAUUUCCUCAAAGUGCAGCUGUAUACUUGGAAAUGUAUUUAAGUUCAGAUCCAUAAAUGGAGAGGAGCAGGAGUAUAUCUCCAGGGCUGUUGUCAAGUCACUGCAGCCUGGCAGUCAUUGUGAAGUGCACCAGUGGAGUUGUAGCCCAAAAAUGCCUCCUUUAUAUUUUGUAUUGGCCCAAAUUAUUUUAGUGCAUCCUUUUAUUGAAGUCAUAAGAUCUUUUCAAGUGCAUAGGUGUUCUGUCUUUUUAUCAGAAGUCAGAUAUAUUGCAAAUCUUAGCACAGAUAGCUUUUCUUUAACAGCUUAAGUUUAUUUAGAAAACAAACUAAGGCUUUGCUAGAAUAGUACUGGUAAUGUGGAAAUGACAGUAGCUACGUAAGGUUAGUCUGCGAAGGAAAGUUUGCCUGAAAUAAGAUGGGCUAUAAAUCUAAAACAUCGUAUUUGUCCCUGGCUUUAUAUAUAUGUAUUUUGUCAAUUUUUAUAUGGCUUUGAGGGUUAGACCCAGUAAGAUAAGCAUCUGUUACAAGCUAGAAGCUUUAAUGACAAAGUUUGGGUUUCUGAACUAUGGUGCUGGAUCAGAAGCACUGUGCUGGGUGUGUUGUACCUUAUUUGCUGAAUGAAGAGACAGAUUUUGAAAUGCUUAUCUGUGCUUGAUUCAAAGCUUCAAUGAGAUACAUCCAGAGCACUGGGAUCACUUCCUGAAUUAAUGUUGUGGUGCUUCUCCCCGGCAUCCAAGUAACAGUGUGAAACUGGAGGAGAGGUGAUAAUUUCCCACUUUUAAAGCAAUGUUUCUUAAAUAUGUAUUUACCACAUACAACUCCAGUGAUCAACAGGCUUUUCAAAACACUGGAGUAUUAACUCCUGCCAAGUAAACUAAGUUUAUGAUUUAUGUGGUGUUUGGUGGUUACCAAAUAAACUUGGGUGCUAUCUUGAAAGUAAUUUUCUGAAUGGAGGUGGUUACAUAAACCACUGGGUAAAGAGCUGAGUGCAGUCACUCACCAUCCAUAACUGGCAGAAGAGAUGCUUCUGUUCAGUCCCCACAUGCAAUUUCUGCUACUUGUGUUACUGGAAUGGGAUUGAAUGGACUGGCAUGGGUGCUAAUUUUAGGGGUGGAAAGCAAGGAGAAAUUACAGAUGUUCUAGUAGUCCUAGUUUGGGAAGAUAAAUUGUAAGAAGGCAUGAUAGAAAUGGAUGUUUACCUCCUCUUAAUUUCUGUUUCAGCUGUAAGUGUACUUGUGAGCAUAGCCUGCAGUUCCUGCUACCCAAUAAAUCCAAUUUUGGAUAUCAACUGAGGCUGACCAUGUCAGGAUAACCUUCCUCAUAUUUCCUCUUUCUGGACUUUUAUUCUCCUGGCCAAAUAAGUUGAGUGUUCAGCUCUGCAGUGACCAACUCCAACAGGAGGCUAUGGGGAGCACUGUCCAGAGCAGCAGAGGGUCUGAGCAGAGCAGUGUCCUGAGAGAAGUGAUGCUUUGGCUUCCUGUAAGGCGAGAAAGCCCCAAGCCUGAGCUUCCAGCUUGUUGGGUACGUGUGCUGCCAGGCUUGUUACUGUUGUCUCCUAACUCGGUAGCUCCUAGGAACAGCAAUCAGUGAACUGUUGGGUAUGACAGAGAACCCCAAAUCCUGUCAGUUUAUCAGAUGCACUCGGUGUUUUUUUUUUUUUUUUUCAGACUGAUCUUGAGGAAUGUCAGGUUUUUUUGAUUCUGAAUAUGAUGAAUGCAUGAGGCUUCCUCAGACUUGAUGAAAUUUUAGCUGCCCAAAGAGCUGUCUGUUCAAAUGAUGAAGCAAGCUGUAAUCUAAACAGACAACUGCAGCAUUGAAAAUCAUGGUGUCAAACUCACAGCGUCUGAGAAGAGGAGCAGAGCAGCCAGACCAUCGCCCUCUGGAGGUGUGACUGAUCGCGGUUCCACUGCUGGGUGCAGGAGCUUCGGUUUCUCUGGCACGUCUCACCCCAAGGCAGGUGAGGUCGCCUCCCUGUCUAUACUCAGAAUAAGUUCAAAUUCCUAUUUUUAGUGUUAUUUUUGCUGUUAUAUUUUUAUGAACCUGUUGAUACAAGAGACCCAUUCUAAUCAGAUGUUAUUAUGAAUCUCUCUUCCAGAGACAAAAUCUUUUCUUUGUAUUCUGCAGGCUUUAAAUUGUUUAAAGCCCCUUUUUUCUUGUACAGUCAGAGUGCUUGAGAUGAAAACCAGCAUCAUAGUUGGGCUCUUGUGAUGCAUUUUUAUGUAAUUAUUAUUCAGAGCUGAACUGUAUUCUAAGUCAGAUGUUUAAAAAACAAAGAAAGUAGCAAUAAUUCUUCAUAUGUUUAUACAGUUGUCCAGUAGCAGAAAUCCUGCCAGAGAUUUGUGUUGCUUACUGUGCAGUUCUAAGGGGAAUGCUUGCUGAAAUGGACAAACCUGAGGGUCUUCUCAUUAAAUAGUGGUCCUUCAUCAGGAAUAGUUGCUGGCUUUAAAAGAAGAGACGCCUCACCCUGAGGGGCAUGGACCAAGGAGUGGAAGAACAUUGUUGUUAGUGCAGCUCAUCAUAAGGGUUAUGGGCGAUUCAAAGCAUGUGGUAGUAACAGUCACAUUUCAUAAAGCAAGCUGAAAAAGAGCAAACCCAGUCCACGCUGUCAGUCACAAGGAAUUUAGUAUCUGAUCAAACGAAGUUAGCUUUAGAAGCAGGAGUCCAGGUCUAGCUAAAGCAGUGCAUCUGCUGCAGUGCUGGGCUCAGCAAAGGUUACCUUACCCUGCCAAAACACAUCAGCAGUGUGGAUGCUGAUGAUACCUUGUGCACUCAGGAGUCACUGGACUUGUCAGAGCCACGCCUUUACCUGUUGUUUGAUGUAGGAUUAUACGUUCUCAACCUGUGUGUUAGAGGGAAGGACAGAAGGAACAGAACAAGGACAUGCUUUUUGCUAUUCUUUCAUGUUGUAUGCAGUGCCAUGAUGAUAUUUAAAAGUAUUACUCACUUCUCCAUGGAUACAUCCAGUGUGACAAAUCACAUCUGUUCCAGAGCAACCCCUCACACUUCCCAGUGCUUCCUUCUCCAGUUACUGCUCAUAGAUCUUUGGAAGCUGACCGUAGGAGGUGGGUCACAGAACAGAAAGACCUGACAGUCAUUGCUCAUUGAUUACUUUCACAACUCUAACCUUGUUCAGAUACCUUGUCUUUAUAGAUCCUGCUGUCUUUCUGAUGUUCAACAGGCUACUUAGACCUUCUGUUAGUGUAUGUAAGACCACCAGGUGUUUGUACCAACAUCCUUUAAGGGAUUUCUGAGCACUGAGGCUCUUUUAUGUUUACAUUCAUUAGUGGAUCUGCAUUUGAGUCCCUUACAGCAGUGUUCUGACUGUACGUAACAGCAGCAGGCUGUAUGGCAACCAUUUCCAUCACAGCUUUUGCUUUGGGUUCAUGGAAUUGAAGUAGUCUGGCAAGUCGGGAACUAGUGAUGUGGAUGGAUAUGGCUCUUCCACUGAGAAAAUAAGUUGGUUCUACGAAUCCAGAUUAAAAACCUCUUUGCUAUAGGACAGAUGACACUUGACAGCAUAUACAUAUAUAUAUAUAUGUAAAGUAUUUCAGUAAGUAUCAAAUGUUCUAAGUAGAAACCAGCCUGAUAUUUCAAUAUUGUCUGCCACUAAAAAGAUAAUUUAAAUAGAUCAGUCAUUAUUUACUUUCAUUAGGUCUUGUGCCCUCUUCUUUCAGGAAUCCCCAUAGCCUUGCUGCUUAAAUGCUCAUUUGUGGUUCCUUCCUCUUCUUCAUGCUGUGUUGGCUUUUGUCAGCUGCUUUCUUUCUUCUCCUGUGGUUAUCCUGGUUCCUAGCCUCUCGCUGAUCGUGUUUUUAGUUAUCCCAGCCUGCCAACCAGAAACACACUGCUCUUCUGCCAUGUGUGAGUUGGAGAUACUUCUGUUAUCUUCAUGUUGACCAGAUGUAUUCAGGCAUAUUGGGGAGGAAGAAGAAAUAUGUCAAAAAAAAAACCACACCAAAAAACACAUGCUUGCGAAGAUAAAUGAAUUUCACUUCAUUUGAUAAUGCCACAAACGUUCAGGUUGGACAGGGUAAGAACAUUAUUUGGCAGAGAAAUAACAGACACCUGAUCUGAGAAGAGCUGUAUGCUAUGAAAAAAUCCAUGCUAACAAGAUUGGCUUUUAGGCUGAGGUGUAAGUGGAUGGAACCUA